rnacentral:rRNA from 1 species
AUUGAACGCUGGCGGCAGGCCUAACACAUGCAAGUCGUGCGAGCGGCGGACGGGUGAGUAAUGUCUGGGAAACUGCCCGAUGGAGGGGGAUAACUACUGGAAACGGUAGCUAAUACCGCAUACCAUCAGAUGUGCCCAAAUGGGAUUAGCUGGUAGGUGGGGUAACGGCUUACCUAGGCGACGAUCCCUAGCUGGUCUGAGAGGAUGACCAGCCACACUGGAACUGAGACACGGUCCAGACUCCUACGGGAGGCAGCAGUGGGGAAUAUUGCACAAUGGGCUAAAGCCUGACGCAGCAAGGCCGCGUGUGUGAAGAAGGUCUUCGGGUUGUAAAGCACUGUUAUUAGGGAGGCGUUACCUGAAGAAGAAGCACCGGCUAACUACGUGCCAGCAGCCGCGGUAAUUC